AACGAACGCUGGCGGCAGGCCUAACACAUGCAAGUCGAGCGAGGACUUCGGUCCUAGCGGCGGACGGGUGAGUAACGCGUGGGAACGUGCCCUUUGCUUCGGAAUAGCCCUGGGAAACUGGGAGUAAUACCGGAUGAGCCCUUUGGGGGAAAGAUUUAUCGGCGAAGGAUCGGCCCGCGUUGGAUUAGGUAGUUGGUGGGGUAAUGGCCUACCAAGCCGACGAUCCAUAGCUGGUUUGAGAGGAUGAUCAGCCACACUGGGACUGAGACACGGCCCAGACUCCUACGGGAGGCAGCAGUGGGGAAUCUUAGACAAUGGGGGAAACCUUGAUCUAGCCAUGCCGCGUGAGCGAUGAAGGCCUUAGGGUUGUAAAGCUCUUUCAGCUGGGAAGAUAAUGACGGUACCAGCAGAAGAAGCCCCGGCUAACUCCGUG
rnacentral:rRNA from 1 species